rnacentral:rRNA from 1 species
GCUUGUCUCAAAGAUUAAGCCAUGCAUGUCUAAGUGUAAAUACGUCUACACUGUGAAACUGCGAAUGGCUCAUUAAAUCAGUUAUCGUUUAUUUGAUGAUCUCUUGUUACAUGGAUAACCGUAGUAAUUCUAGAGCUAAUACAUGCGUCAAGCCCCGACUCACGAAGGGGUGUAUUUAUUAGAUAAAAAACCAAUGCGGGUUCUGCCCGGUUUUGUGUUGAAUCAUAGUAACUUUUCGAAUCGCAUGGCUUCACGCCGGCGAUAGUUCAUUCAAAUUUCUGCCCUAUCAGCUUUC